rnacentral:rRNA from 1 species
UUGGAGGGCAAGUCUGGUGCCAGCAGCCGCGGUAAUUCCAGCUCCAAUAGCGUAUAUUAAAGUUGUUGCAGUUAAAAAGCUCGUAGUUGAAUUUCGGGGUCAGUAGGUUGGUCAUGCCACUGGUAUGUACUGGUCUCACUGAUUCCUCCUUCCUGAUGAGCCGUAAUGCCAUUAAUUUGGUGUUGCGAGGAAUCUGGACUGUUACUUUGAAAAAAUUAGAGUGUUUAAAGCAAGCUAACGCUUGAAUACAUUAGCAUGGAAUAAUGAAAUAGGACGUUCGAUCCUAUUUUGUUGGUUUCUAGGAUUGACGUAAUGAUUAAUAGGGAUAGUUGGGGGCAUUAGUAUUCAAUUGUCAGAGGUGAGAUUCUUGGAUUUAUUGAAGACUAACUACUGCGAAAGCAUUUGCCAAGGAUGUUUUCAUUAAUCAAGAACGAAAGUUAGGGGAUCGAAGACGAUCAGAUACCGUCGUAGUCUUAACCAUAAACUAUGCCGACUAGGGAUCGGAUGAUGUUAAUUUUUUAAUGACUCAUUCGGCGCCUUACGGGAAACCAAAGUGUUUGGGUUC